AUCGCCUUACUUCAUCACCAACCAAAACAAUCAGAAAUGUGAAUUGGAAAAUCCUCUAAUCAUAAUCCAUGAGAAGAAAAUCUCAAGUAUUAAUGCUGUGGUUAAAGUAUUGGAGUUGGUUUUGCAGUUAUGAUUUCAGAUCUAUAGAUAACCUGUUGUUGCUGACA